AAGAGGAAUGCCUGCUGGGGGGCUCAGUGAAGAUCCCACAGAGGAAAAGUGACUUGGAUUUUGUUUUGAGGCUUGUGUAGGAUUUAAAAAUGUAAGAAGAAUGGUUCAAGUUAUUUCAAACUGUCCACAUUGACUCAGUAAAGGUAAGUGGGAAGAAUUCUCACAGCCUGUCUUGGUAAACCAGGCAAGUCAGUCUUACUCCUAGUAAAACAGUUAUGCAGAGAAAAAUCAGGUUGGAUCUUUGAAUGCUUGACUGUGGAUCUUGGACUUCACCUCACAGUUAAUAGGCAGGAAUUGGUUCAAUAGCCAGUAAUUCUUAGCAGGAGGAAAGAGUGUGUCAUUUGGAUUCUAUAGAACCCAUUUCACUCUCCAUUUGUACUUGCAGAUCCAGCUUCAACACAAUUUUCUUAUGUUCUGAAAGUUCAAGCACAAGCACUUGGGGGAUAGUUGGCUGUGUGUUUCUGCCUUGGGUUUUCUAAGACUAACCACCCAGUGAAUUCUGCAAAACCCUGUUAAAUGAUGUUCCUAGCCAUGGAGGACCAGGGAAAGCCAAAGGCACAACCGUCUCUGUGAAGUUUGUGCAAGUGUGAGUUAAGAGAUUUGAUGAAAUUAUUCACCCAGAUGUAAGUGUCGGAAAAAAUGAAGACAGGCUAAUUUUGAGAUAAAUCAAAUUUGAAAGAGAGUUGUGGAUGAGAGAGCUGCCCCAUGGCUGGGCUGUUUUUACGUAUACUGGCUGCUUACAGGAUAUCACGCUGCUGAAUGACGUGUACUUCAAGGCCAGCAGAGGGUGGUGGAUGUGCCUCUGCCCACGCCGUGUAAAGAUGGCGGCAGAGCGGGCCCAACAGCACCCUUGGAGUCUACACAAGAAGAUAAAGUCAUGCAUGGAAUAUCUUCACAAACACAAUGAGAAUCUCAGAAGCUAUAGAAUGUCUGACACAUACAAAAAGAAAGAAAGAAAAGACAAAGAAAAGAAAGAGAAAGAAGAAAGAAAAAGAAAAAGAAAGAAAGAAAGAAAGACAGAGAAAGAAAGAAAUCUGAAUUCAGGACUAGAUCUAAAAUAAUAAAAAUCAAAAACGAAUAUCUGACCCUAUGAACUUAAUUUUUGCCUAUCAAAGUAUUUUUAUGUUAGCUUGUUUUCUUUAAAAUAAAUUGAAUAAGUUAAAAGUCAGCAUGACCUAGUGAAGACUGUCAACCAUGGCUGCAUGUUAAAAUAACCUAGAGAGCUUUAGAAAGAAAAAACAGCAAGGCCUUUAACCUGCUCCCAGAAUUACCGAUUUCAUGGUCUGGAUGAGCUUAGCCAUUAGAAUUUUGACAAGGAAAUGAGUCUCCAUUUUCUCCUGUCAGAGAGAAAUAAUAUUUUUUCUCCUGGAUGGUCAUUAUAAUGAUCUAAGCAGCUAGAAUAUUCUUGCCCAUGGCUUGCUUGCUCAUUUCUGCCAAAAAUUUUAUAAAAUAUUUGCUUCUCAAAGGUGCCCCACCUGUCACCAUAGCAAAGGUUGUGAGCUCCCCCAUGACCCUCCUGCCUUGUCCCUGCUGGAUUCCUCACCAAGGCACCUUAAAAUACCCCAUAGAAUUAGUAUGUUCACUUUGCUCAUGGUUCAUCUUCCUCUCCUGGCAUGUA